rnacentral:rRNA from 1 species
GACGAACGCUGGCGGCGUGCCUAAUACAUGCAAGUAGAACGCACAGUUUAUACCGUAGCUUGCUACACCAUAGACUGUGAGUUGCGAACGGGUGAGUAACGCGUAGGUAACCUGCCUGGUAGCGGGGGAUAACUAUUGGAAACGAUAGCUAAUACCGCAUAAUAUUAAUUAUUGCAUGAUAAUUAAUUGAAAGGUGCAAUUGCACCACUACCAGAUGGACCUGCGUUGUAUUAGCUAGUAGGGGAGGUAACGGCUCACCUAGGCGACGAUACAUAGCCGACCGGAGAGGGUGCACGGCCAAACUGGGACUGGGACACGGCCCAGACUCCUACGGGAGGCAGCAGUAGGGAAUCUUCGGCAAUGGACGAAAGUCUGACCGAGCAACGCCGCGUGAGUGAAGAAGGUUUUCGGAUCGUAAAGCUCUGUUGUAAGAGAAGAACGGGUGUGAGAGUGGAAAGUUCACACUGUGACGGUAUCUUACCAGAAAGGGACGGCUAACUACGUG